CAGUUCUGCAUGGAAGCAUCAUUGCAUAAAGGUGGUACGCUGUUCUUUGUUUGUUUAAAGACAAGCAGCAACUGCAGAGUUAUGCUAUGGCUUUUGAAAGUCAUUAAUACUGUGGGCCCCAGAAUUCUGGGGGUCCUUUCGUGAAAGUGAUUGGCAGGACUUGACGAACAGAUCCAAGAAAGCAUUUCUUCACACAGUGCAUAAUUGGUUUACAGAAUUCACUGACAGAGCUUGCCACGCUGGUUACUAGUCUAGAUGGCUUUAAAAGGAAAGACACAUUCAUGGAAAACAGGUCUACUGUAGACAUAUUUCAAAAGUUUACUUAAAAGCCACAAAGAUUUGAACAGAACUAUUUGAUUGAGGAGGAGGGAUCAAUAAAGGACAUUUAAUAUCAUUCAAAUAUUGUAGUCAAGCAGAUGCAAAAAGGUGGAAAAUAUUUCUAUUGGAAUAUUUGGAAAUGUCUGAAGACAACACACCACAUUGUUCCAAUGAUGCCAUCUUGCAGACCUGUGGUAUAAUGAUGUCACCAUACCCGAUUGGCUGAUGCCACAUGAUGUCACAAAGGCAUUGUUACAUAAUGGGAAUGUGCUGUUAGGGAAAGACAAAAAACUCGCACUAACUGUUGCAAUGGGAGGAGUCUUCCAGGACAUCAAGAAAAUCAGGUCCUGACUAUCCCUCUUGGGCUUCACCUCACCGCUCCUGGAAGAAACAGUCCUGGGACUUGGAACCAAGCACUCCUCCACCUCUCAGACAAUUGUGUGUUAUUGCCUGCAGGCCUCCUAAUGCCUUCCUCAGAGUCCUUGACCAGUAAGAAUUCCUCUGCCCCUUCUCCUGUCAGUCUCCGCCAUCGCUUCCCCCUGGCCCUCCUCACCUGUUGGACUGGCUGAAGUCUUCUGGCUACUUUGGACUUGCCAAAAGAGAAAGGGCCCCCAGCAGCCUCCAGAAAGAGGAUCUACAAGCAAGAUUGCAUCUUCAUUGUCUUUUUUCUGCAAAAGAUUCUGUAAAACACUGGACUGUGGCCAAGGGCAAGAGAGACUUCUGCUCAAGUGUGUGUGCCUGAGACAAGUAUAAAACUUGUUUGCUAUGAAGUUAUAGUAGAAAGACUGCUGAUCUCUG